GAGGAGAUUUAUAAUAGAGAGUAGAGGAGAUUUAUAAUGACGGGGAAUAGAGGGUAGAGGGAGUUAUAAUAGAGAGUAGAGGAGAUUUAUAAUGACGGGGAAUAGAGGGUAGAGGGAGUUAUAAUAGAGAGUAGAGGAGAUUUAUAAUGACGGGGAAUAGAGGGUAGAGGGAGUUAUAAUAGAGAGUAGAGGAGAUUUAUAAUGACGGUGAAUAGAGGGUAGAGGGAGUUAUAAUAGAGAGUAGAGGGAGUUAUAAUAGAGAGUAGAGGAGAUUUAUAAUGACGGGGAAUAGAGGGUAGAGGGAGUUAUAAUAGAGAGUAGAGGGAGUUAUAAUAGAGAGUAGAGGGAGUUAUAAUAGAGAGUAGAGGGAAUUUAUAAUGACGGGGAAUAGAGGGUAGAGGGAGUUAUAAUAGAGAGUAGAGGAGAUUUAUAAUGACGGGGAAUAGAGGGUAGAGGGAGUUAUAAUAGAGAGUAGAGGAGAUUUAUAAUGACGGGGAAUAGAGGGUAGAGGGAGUUAUAAUAGAGAGUAGAGGAGAUUUAUAAUGACGGGGAAUAGAGGGUAGAGGGAGUUAUAAUAGAGAGUAGAGGAGAUUUAUAAUGACGGGGAAUAGAGGGUAGAGGGAGUUAUAAUAGAGAGUAGAGGGAUUUAUAAUAGAGAGUAGAGGGAGUUAUAAUAGAGAGUAGAGGGAAUUUAUAAUGACGGGGAAUAGAGGGUAGAGGGAGUUAUAAUAGAGAGUAGAGGGAGUUAUAAUAGAGAGUAGAGGGAGUUAUAAUAGAGAGUAGAGGGAGUUAUAAUAGAGAGUAGAGGAGAUUUAUAAUGACGGGGAAUAGAGGGUAGAGGGAGUUAUAAUAGAGAGUAGAGGGAGUUAUAAUAGAGAGUAGAGGAGAUUUAUAAUGACGGGGAAUAGAGA